rnacentral:rRNA from 1 species
AUACGUAGGGUGCGAGCGUUAAUCGGAAUUACUGGGCGUAAAGCGUGCGCAGGCGGUUUUGUAAGUCAGAUGUGAAAUCCCCGGGCUUAACCUGGGAACUGCGUUUGAAACUGCAAGGCUAGAGUGUGGCAGAGGGGGGUGGAAUUCCGCGUGUAGCAGUGAAAUGCGUAGAGAUGUGGAGGAACACCGAUGGCGAAGGCAGCCCCCUGGGUUAACACUGACGCUCAGGCACGAAAGCAUGGGGAGCAAACAGCAUUAGAAACCCCGGUAGUCC